rnacentral:tRNA from 1 species
UAAGGUUCUUGUAGUGAGUUA